rnacentral:rRNA from 1 species
GACGAACGCUGGCGGCGUGCUUAACACAUGCAAGUCGAACGGAAAGGCCCUGCUUUUGUGGGGUGCUCGAGUGGCGAACGGGUGAGUAACACGUGAGUAACCUGCCCUUGACUUUGGGAUAACUUCAGGAAACUGGGGCUAAUACCGGAUAGGAGCUCCUGCUGCAUGGUGGGGGUUGGAAAGUUUCGGCGGUUGGGGAUGGACUCGCGGCUUAUCAGCUUGUUGGUGGGGUAGUGGCUUACCAAGGCUUUGACGGGUAGCCGGCCUGAGAGGGUGACCGGCCACAUUGGGAGUGAGAGACGGCCCAGACUCCUACGGGAGGCAGGAGUGGGGAAUAUUGCACAAGGGGCGGAAGCCUGAUGGAGCAACGCCGGGUGCGGGAUGACGGCCUUCGGGUGGUAAACCGCUUUCGCCUGUGACGAAGCGUGAGUGAGGGUAAUGGGUAAAGAAGCACCGGCUAACUACGU